rnacentral:rRNA from 1 species
UUUUAUGGAGAGUUUGAUCCUGGCUCAGGAUGAACGCUGGCGGCGUGCCUAAUACAUGCAAGUCGAGCGAACAGAUAAGGAGCUUGCUCCUUUGACGUUAGCGGCGGACGGGUGAGUAACACGUGGGUAACCUACCUAUAAGACUGGAAUAACUCCGGGAAACCGGGGCUAAUGCCGGAUAACAUUUAGAACCGCAUGGAUCUAAAGUGACAGAUGGUUUUGCUAUCACUUAUAGA